UUGGCCCUGAAUCAAGGCCAGCAAUUUGCUGAAGCUGUUGGUAUCAAGCAGGAGCCUAAAGAAAUGUCUUUUUAUGGUCUGAUGGCCAUUUCAGAACUUUGGAAAUAUGAUGGUCAAUUCAUUGGAAAGAAACAUGU
ensembl:snoRNA